rnacentral:rRNA from 1 species
GUGAAAUUGUUGAAAGGGAAACGAUUAAAGUCAGUCAUGUUGGUAGGGAAUCAACUUGAUGGUUUGCGGGUUUACUCGUGUUCUUUCGAGUGCACUUCCUUACUUGCUAGUUAGCAUCAAUUUUGGUUAUCAUAUAAAAAUUGAGGUAAGGUGGCUUUUCUUCGGAGAAGUGUUAUAGACCUUGAUAAAUGUGGUGACCGGGAUUGAGGAUUGCAGCGAAUACCCUUUAGGGCUAGUCACCUGACUUCUGAUGGUUACCUCGUCUUCGAUAGCUUGCUAACGUUGAUGGGAUUCGACUAUCUAGUUGUUAGACUGAUCAUAAAUUCGCUAAGGAUGCUGACGUAAUGGCUUUAAACGAC